rnacentral:rRNA from 1 species
CAGGCUUAACACAUGCAAGUCGAACGGUAGCAUGCUGUAGCAAUACAGUGAUGACGAGUGGCGCAAGGGUGAGUAACACAUAAGAAUCUGCCCCCCUGUGGGGGACAACAGUUGGAAACGACUGCUAAUACAGCGUACGCCCGAAAGGGGAAAGAUUUAUCGCGGGGGGAUGAGCUUAUGCCUGACUAGGUAGUUGGUGGGGUAAAGGCCUACCAAGCCGAUGAUCAGUAGCCGGUCUGAGAGGAUGAACGGCCACACUGGGACUGAGACACGGCCCAGACUCCUACGGGAGGCAGCAGUGGGGAAUAUUGGACAAUGGGGGGAACCCUGAUCCAGCCAUGCCGCGUGAGUGACGAAGGCCUUCGGGUUGUAAAGCUCUUUUAUAUAUGAGGAUGAUGACGUUAGUAUAUGAAUAAGCACCGGCUAACUUCGUGCCAGCCGCCGCCGUAA